rnacentral:rRNA from 1 species
GACGAACGCUGGCGGCGUGCUUAACACAUGCAAGUCGAACGGAAAGGCCCUGCUUUCGUGGGGUGCUCGAGUGGCGAACGGGUGAGUAACACGUGAGUCUCCUGCCCUUGACUUUGGGAUAACCUCAGGCAACUGGGGCUACUGCAUGAUAGGUGCUCCUGCUGCCAGGUGGGGGUCGGAACGUUUCGGCGGAUGGGGAUGGACUCGCGGGUUAUCAGCUUGUUGGUGGGGUAGUCGCUUACCCAGGCUUUGACGGGUAGUCGGCCUGAGAGGGUGACCGGCCACAUUGGGACUGAGAUACGGCCCAGACUCCUACGGGAGGCAGCAGUGGGGAAUAUUGCACAAUGGGCGGAAGUCUGAUGCAGCAACGCCGCGUGCGGGAUGACGGCCUUCGGGUUGUAAACCGCUGUCGCCUGUGACGAAGCGGGAGUGACGGUAAUGGGUAAAGAAGCACCGGCUAACUACGUG